UCGUGGAUAUUGAGGGGGCAGAACAGCGUUUCCAUCAUCCCGUCCCACUGUAAAUCCAACACUGCCAGCUCCUCCCGUAACCCUGUCCCCGAGUGCACGCAUCUUUUAAAUUCCUCCAGGGCUGGUCACUCCAGCACUGCCCUGGGCAGCUUGUUCCAGUGCUUGCCAGUCCUUUCGGUGGAGCGGUUCCCAGUCUGAACUCCACCAGAGCAGCCUGAGGCUGUUCGCUCUUGUCCCACCCCUUCCCAUGCCGGUCUGUUCCCCAGAGCGGUAGGAACAGCUCAGGUCAGUGCCUCCUCAGGCCUUUUACACUCCGAUUAGACAAAGAGCUGCAUCAGUUGAACACAACAAAUGACUUCACUCCAUUAUCACGGCACUGUUGGUGAAUGCUGUCAAUCAUAGAAUAGUUUGGGUUGAAAGCGACCCUUAAAAUCAUCUCGUUUCAGCCGUCCCCUGCUGUGGACAGGGACACCUUCGCCAGUCCAGGUUUCUCCAAGCCUCAUCCAACCUGACCUUGAGCCUCUCUGGGGAUGGAGCGGCCGCAACCUCUCUGAGCAACCUGUGCCGGUGUUUUACCACCCUCAUUGUGAAAAACUUCCUAAUGUUUAGAGGGAGUGAAUGUUUUGAUUUUAAAUGUUUUGUUUUGUUAUUAGCUUGGUUUGAAAUCUACAUGGCAAGUUAAGCUAAGUGACUAUGCCAUGUGUUUAUUUUCCAUUAUAAGCCAGAGAUCUUCAGAGAAGGCGUAGGUCCUUGCACAACACAUUUAAUCCCUUUACCACUGUCACGGUUUUCUUGCAAGCUUGCUAUCGUAAGGUUUUGAUGCUGGACAACUUACAAAGAUUAAAAGAAAAUGUUUUUUUGCAUGCAUAGCUAGGCUACAUGUUAUCAUCAGGCAGUUUUGUCAGUAAUUCACGUGAAACUUGGCUUUUUUUCUGUUUGUUUUUUAACCCAAAAUUUAUUACUCAAGAAGGUGUUUAGCUCAUCCGAAGCGUCUAAAGACCAAAUGCUAUCCAUUUUUGUUCAAAUAGCACCACUCAGUGUUCAGUUCUGGACUGUGCAUUAUGUAUGUCUACCCUUAGGCAAUUUAAAAAUGCUUAUUUUCCAAGUUGUGGGGUAUUUCUCCAAGGUGUCUGACCAGAACAAUGAGAUUGUCCAUGUCAUUGGCUAAGAAAAAGUCUCAGCUGACUUCCUUUAAGAACUGCUUGUUUGGGACCUACUUGAAGAGACUCGUGAUGUUCACCCACUUCCAAGACCUGGAGCAUGAAGAAAGAGUCAAAGCUGACCAUCAGGUUCUGGUUGAUAUGGAAUGUAAUGGUGACAUCAUGGCAGAGAAGGAAUCAUGAAAUCAGAAUAUCCUGAGUUGGAAGAGUUCCACUGGGAUCAUUUUGUCCAGCUCCUAGCCCUGCACUCCGAAAUCACACCGUGUGCCCAAGGGUGUUUGCCAAGUGCUUCUUGAGCUAUGUCAGGCUUGGUGCUGUGACCAGUUCCCUGGGUAGGCUGUUCCAGUGUCCAGUCACCCUCUGGUGGACUGCCCAACCAUUUUUUCCCUUAUAUUCAACCUGAGCCUCCCCUGACUCAGCCUCACGCUGCUCCCUCAGGUCCUGUCACUGUCACCAGAGAGAAGAGAACAGUGCCAACCCCUCCUUUGCCCCUUGUGAGGAAGCUGUAGACAGCUGGAUUUUAAAGGAAGCUUUAGAAUAAACAUAAUUUUUUUCCUUCUCCUACUCUCUUAUCUUUCAUGGUCCUGCACCUCUCAAAUUCUGUUUACUUUUGCUACCUCUCAAGUUGUUUUCUUCAUUCAUUUUGGGGUUUUCUUUUCCCAGUCCUCUAGCUCCUAGAAUCUGUCAGGGCUGCUUGGUCCUUGGGAAUUCAUAGGCACUUCUGAUGGGACUCUACUGUUACAGAAAUGUGUGUGAAGUCUUGCCAAGGGAUAAAAAAAAAAAAUAGGAGAAAGCAAACAAACUGAAUAAGCAUGUAUCUGACAGAAGAAAUGGCUGCAACUGAGAAAGGCUGAUUCUUCUCUCUCUGAAAUGUCAAACCAAGUCCUACAAAACAAAUUGUUAGAAAUAGACCUGCUAUUGCAAACUCAUAGCCUAAGCUGAUCAAAGUAUUGAGCUUCAGUCUGUAAAAACAUGAGGGAUGAUUCUGUUUCCUACAGCAGGAAAAUAUGCUGGAAGCCCGGCAAUAUCUGGUGCUUCUUAAUAUUUAUUGUGUAGCAUCUUUUGUGCUGUUAUGAAUCCUGCAAAAUCCUAGUUAAAUUUGGAAAGAUGGAGGACAGCUUUGCUGCUUUAAUAACUUCUGCUGCUCCUAUAAGAGGUUUAUAUUUGCAUGCCAAUUUAGCAUGCUUAAUGUUCUGCUAAGGUUCACUGUUCUCAUUGUUUCACAUAUCCUGGCAUGAACUCUUUUAAUUUAUUCCUUUGUUAGACUGUGUUCAGCUGAUGAACUGCUAAUCCUAGCAAAGGUUAUCAAAUGUAACAAAAAUUGAACUAGAUUUUUGUCAGGAUGUACUAAAGGAGAUUUUUGACUAUGAUAUCCUUCUCACUGUAAUGGCAGAUAAAUGCAACCAUAAUCUGCUUAUAGUGCAUAGCUGUGCUUUCUUCAAAGAACUGAAAUUAGAAAAUAUCAUCCUUAUAGUUAUUUCUGUGGUCCAGAAUACAUCUCUACCAAACUCCAAUGAGUGUUCUUUUAGCUUUCAUGCAGGAGAAGAUGAAAGCUUGGAGACCUGACCUAUGAGGAAAGGCUGAGAGAAUUGGGAUUGUUUAGCCUGGAAAAGAGAAGCCUUUCAGGGUCCCCUUCCAGCCAAAACCAUUCUAUGAUUCUGUGAUUUUGGUGUUUUCAAUCUGAGGCCUGGCAGCAUAGAGGACCAAUUCUGGAUUGUCAUCUGUACAUUAUAAUCUCAGCUCUUAGAGCUUCAGAGUUCCUCACAUCUUAGACAAAACCAGGGUGAUGGGUACACUGGAUAGCACAUGAUAUCCCUGGGAGACAUUUGAAAAUAUUCACUUUACUGAUUUUUGUUGGCAAUUACUACAAUGAUUGUUGAGACAAGCCAGUAAAAUUUUAAAUUUUUUUGCCAGGUAUAAUAAAUUCACUUCUGUGUUACCGUUUUCAUCACUAGGAUUACUUGCAGACUUGGAAAGAGAAAUGAACUUCUGAGAAAAAAAAAAAAAAAGAUUUAAAGGAAGUUUUCUUUGAGUAGAAUUCAUAAUCAGUGAAUGAUUUAAGACAGGCAUUUCAGUACAGUAUGGAUAGGUGAUAUCCAGAGCUGUCCAGAUAUUUUCUGCUUAACUGGAGUAAGAUUGCUUUUAUGCUUAUGGCCAGACAUAAGUGCAAAAAGGAAAAAAGGCAAUUCGAAGCACUGAAAUUAAAAACAUCCUUAUGGUAGCUCCUGUUGUCCAGACUCUUAUAUGUAGUGUUUUCUAUGCUUGUCACUAGAAGCAGCUUGUUGGUAGCAGAUGGAAUCUUUUGGUGGCCUUACCAUUCUUUUCAGCAGCAAGUUCUUCUCAUGUAUUUCUGUGUUGUCCUAAUCCUUGGGCUUUGCUACAGUAGUAUUCUGAAUAAUGUAUUUGUGUAUAUGUUUUUAAAAAGUACUGAGGUGCAGUUUUUAUCUCAGCUAUCUGGACAGCACAAGGAUCAAGAGUCAGAGCAGGCACUGGAGGUGAUGUUGUGUAGACAUAAAGGGUAAAGACAGGAGGUUUGGAGGGGGGAGUUGAAACCUGUAAAUGAGAUUCAGGGAAGGAAUGAAACAUGAUGAGUGUCAGGCAGAGCAAAUGAUAAUUCCAGCAACCUUGUGGAUACAAUGGAGAACAAGGCUGGAACUUCAGGAAGGAAGAGGGGGCAGUGAGACAGAAUGAUUUUUCUCAAUGUGGUCAAGAGCAAAUAGUGCCUUGGUGCUUUUUUUCUUUUUAGUGGUAGAUAUUCCAAAGUACUCUGACCCUGGAAAUUGAUACACUGAUUAUUUCUAGAAAUUUGCUGAAGGUAGGAACAGAAAAAUGUUUUUCAGUGACAGUCAGUCCUGCAAAUAAGUGUUAUGGCACCACAAUGUAAUUAAUGACAAAUGUGUCAUCAUGCCUUAGUCUAAAAGGAAUUUAAGAUGCAUGCCUGUUUUCUUAGUAAAUAAAAUACCAUUUCACCCCAAUUAGACUCAUUUUUUACUGAGGACAGUGGUUAAAUUGUAUUAGCUAUACGUCUCUCUUCAAUAGAUCCUUUG